rnacentral:lncRNA from 1 species
ACCAUCUCCAUUGUCUAGCUGUAAUCCUGGCAUCCUGCAUAUAGGAAGACAUGGGGGCAGGAAGGGGGAAUAGGAGGAGCAAAGGGAGCAGACGGUCGAUCGAAGCUCUCAAGGAGUGCCGAGCUAGGCUGUGCAUCAUCAGGUGGUGCAUCGUCAGGCUCUUCUGUUGCCGUGACUGAGAGAUAUUGGCAGAUUCAGUACCGGCCCGGGUUUGAGUCCUAGCACUUCUUUAACG